rnacentral:rRNA from 1 species
AGGACGAACGCUGGCGGCGUGCUUAACACAUGCAAGUGGAGCGACGAACCAGGGCUUGCCCUGGGGCAGAGCCGCGAACGGGUGAGUAACACGUGGGUUACCUGCCUCGAUGACCGGGACAACCCGAGGAAACUCGGGCUAAUACCGGAUGUGCCCGCAAGGGGAAAGGAAGCUUCGGCCUCCGCAUCGAGAUGGGCCCGCGGCCCAUUAGCUUGUUGGUGAGGUAACGGCUCACCAAGGCUUCGAUGGGUAGCUGGUCUGAGAGGACGAUCAGCCACACUGGGACUGAGACACGGCCCAGACUCCUACGGGAGGCAGCAGUGGGGAAUCUUGCGCAAUGCGCGAAAGCGUGACGCAGCAACGCCGCGUGGGGGAAGAAGGCUUUCGGGUUGUAAACCCCUUUCAGUUUGGGACGAAGCUUCUCCGGUGAAUAGCCGGACGGAGUGACGGUACCUUCACAAGAAGCACCGGCUAACUACGUGCCAGCAGCCGC